UCAGACGAUGCGUCAUGCAUAUCAAUAAGCGGAGGAAAAGAAACUAACAAGGAUUCCCUCAGUAACGACGAGUGAAGCGGGAAGAGCUCAAAUUUGAAAUCUUGAAAGGUCACCUUUCACGAAUUGUAGUUUAAAGAAGUGUUUUCUGUUACGAUCGUAAUAUAAGUUCUUUGGAAUAGGACAUCACAGAGGGUGAGAAUCCCGUCUAUGAUUGCGAUUUGUAGCUUUGUGAUACACUUUCAAAGAGUCGGAUUGUUUGGGAAUGCAGCCCAAAAUGGGAGGUAAAUUUCUUCUAAGGCUAAAUAUUGGCGAGAGACCGAUAGCGAACAAGUACCGUGAGGGAAAGAUGAAAAGAACUUUGAAAAGAGAGUUAAAUAGUACGUGAAAUUGUCAAAAGGGAAGCGUUUAACACCAGUGUUGUUUUCUGAAAAUCAACCUCUGUUAGCUUUAUGCAUGUUUGUUUAGACCUAAUCAGCUAUCUUGCAUGUUCUAUUAUUUGCAGUGGUGCACUUUUCAGUUUACAGGUCAACAUCAGUUUUUUUUUACCGUAAAAAAGUUAAAGAAAGGUAGCUCAUGGCCCCGGUCGUGAGUGUUAUAGUCUUUUUCCUAUGCGGUAGGAGAGACUGAGGUCUGCAGUGUAGGCUAUUUGGCUAGAUACUCAGGUGCUAUGUGAUACCAUUUCAUAAACAACUUGUUGAUUAUGUUUUGUCUAUUGCAUACUCGCUUGUACUAUCAUACCUACGCUUAGGAUGUUGACUGAUAUGUAGUCGUA
rnacentral:rRNA from 1 species